GAUAAACGCUGGCGGCGUGCUUAACACAUGCAAGUCGAACGAAGUUUUUCCUUCGGGAGCAACUUAGUGGCGGACGGGUGAGUAACGCGUGGGUAACCUGCCCUGUACAGGGGGACAACAGCUGGAAACGGCUGCUAAUACCGCAUAAGCCCUUAGCACUGCAUGGUGCAUAGGGAAAAGGAGCAAUCCGGUACAGGAUGGACCCGCGUCUGAUUAGCCAGUUGGCAGGGUAACGGCCUACCAAAGCGACGAUCAGUAGCCGAUCUGAGAGGAAGUACGGCCACAGUGGGACUGAGACACGGCCCAGACUCCUACGGGAGGCAGCAGUGGGGAAUAUUGCACAAUGGAGGAAACUCUGAUGCAGCGACGCCGCGUGAGUGAAGAAGUAUUUCGGUAUGUAAAGCUCUAUCAGCAGGGAAGAAAAUGACGGUACCUGACUAAGAAGCACCGGCUAAAUACGUG
rnacentral:rRNA from 1 species